AGAAAAAUCAGGAUUCCAUGGGUAGGUUAACUAGUGAAUGAGAAUAUGGAAAUGAAAAUACAGGAAAAAGAGAAGCGUGUAGCUUACUAGUUGAUGGAAACAAAGGUACAAAACAUGUAGGAUAGUGGGUUUUAAACAUUUUGAUUAUUAUGUUAACAAUUAGGACUAACACCUCAAUGGAACACUGAGUUCCCAUAGCACUGUUUGAAAACAUCUUAGUGUAUGUCUAUACAUUUAGUAAAUCUUCCUCCCUGGCAGAGGAAGAAUUACCACCUAGAGAAAAGCACUAAACUGGCAAAAACAGAGCCCAGUCUUCGAACUUGCAGGCCAAUUUCCUUUGCAUAUACCAUGCUACCUAAUGAUCGAGAUACUCUAGAGUAAUUCUGAAUCCUGACCUCUAGAGUUGAGAGCAAUCAGUGGACAAGUAAGACAUGGCACUAUGGUGCAAAGAACCCCCACUUCAUCACAUACAAAAUUCAUCACAUUGGGCAACACACAAUAAUGGGACUUGAAGUAAGCUAACAAUACGUUAUCUUCUUCAGAGAGAGUUAAAAUUUAAUUUGAAUUAAGUAGAAAAUUAGAGACAGUGCAAAAGCAUUCAAAAUUAGCAUUUGCUUAUCUUAAACAACUCUUAAAAUUAAGUAAUUUUGUUAGUUCAGCUAUUUUAAAAUAUCAAUAAUCCAGCUAAAAGUUUUACUAGCUGUUAGCAGACAAAAACUAAGGGAGCUUUAAAAAAACACUGUCUGCUUUUAUAAUUAUUAUCCAUUACUGAAAUCUUCUAGAGGAGAGAUGAGGGCUGGAGAGUAGGCUGCGUUUAGGAAAUAUUACAGAGGCAGAAAUGAGGAUUUCAGGGCAGCUACAUGCAGCACCUGAAGAUCCCCUGAGGCAGCCUGUCUAAGUUGACUGCUAUUUAGAGUGCAGCCCAGAGAGUUUCAGAUUUCAGGUUGCUACCCAUCCAUGGGAUAGGAAACCAAUUCAACGGGUCACAACCAGUAUUUUAAAAUGAAAAAGACUAGAAAAUAGGAAAAAUAAAUCACAAAUACUAAGGGACAAGGUGUUUUGAGAAACAUUUGGUUCAGUUGUACAUACGUACAUGUAAUGUUUAUAUGUGUUUCUUACAGUGAGAAACCAUCAGCAAAGUUUGAAAAACAUGUAUAGACAUUAACUUAAGUAGAAAUGAAGGGUGGAAAGAUAAGGAGUCUAAUUAAAUUGAAAUUUCUCUUUGAGAUGCCAGGGAGACAUUCAAGUGGAUUUAUUUUCCCUUUUAUACUGGAUGCCAAGUGCAGAAAAUGGAGUUAAUUCUCUUCCUUGGUUCAUAGCACAUAAUCAUUACUGUCCUUGGGAGAAUUUUUAAGUUAUGUUUCAUUUCUAAUUGGCAAAUAAUAAUUGAAUAAUUUUAUGAGACAAUAUGUGAUGUUUUGAUGUAUUGUUGUGGAUACAUUGUCAAUAUGCUGUGCAAUGAAACACCAGAAUUUAUUCCUUCUAACUGAAACUUUAUACCAAUUGACCAUUUCCCCCUUCCCCAUCCACUUACCUACCCCACAACCUCUGGUAACCACAAUUCUAUUUUCUAUUUCCAAGAGUUUGACUUUUUUAGACUCCACUUAGAAGUGAGAUCAUACAGUAUUUGUUUCUCUGUGCUUGACUUAUUUCACUUAACAUAAAUGUUAAGUGCAAAUGACAUAUUUUCCUGUUUCUUUUAAGGCUGAAUAGUAUUCCAUUAUGUAUAUCUUGCCACUUUUAAAAAAAUCCAUUGAUUUUUAUCUAAUGAUAGACACAGGUUGUUGCCAUGAAUUGGCUAUUGUGAAUAGUGCUGCAAUGAACUUGGGAGUAUCGACAUCACUUCAACAUACUGAUUUGAAUUCUUUUGGGUAUAUAUUUUGUAGCGGAAUUGUUGGAUCACAUGGUAAUUCUAUUUUUUGUUAUUUAAUAAAGAUUCAUGCUGUUUCCCAAAAUGGCUGCACUAAAUUACAAUACCACCAAGAGGGCAUAACUGUGCCCAUUUCUCAGCAUCAUCACCAACACUAGCCAUCUUUCAUCUUUUUGAUAAUUGCCAAACUAACAGGUGUGAGGUGAUAUAUCUUUGUGACUUUAAUUUGCUUUCUCUGAUGAUUAGAGAUGUUGAACAUUUUCAUAUAACUAUUGGCAAUUUGUGUGUCUUCUUUUAAGAAAUGUCUAUUUGAGUUCUUUGCCCGUUUUUAAUAGGAUUGUUUUGGAUUAGUUUGAGUUUCUUGUAUAUUUUGUAAAAGAGCCCAUUAUCUGAUGUAUAAUUUUUAUACUUUUCUUAAUCUGUGCAUUUUCUCUUGACACAAUUGUGUCCUUUUGUGCAGAAGCUUUUUAGUUUGAUGGAAUCAUGUUUGUCUAUUUAUGCUUUUGUUUCCUGUGCUUUUGGGAUUACACACAAGAAAUUAUUGUCCAGACCAAUACCAUGGAGAUUUCCCCCUGUGCUUUCUUCUAGUAUCUGUAGUAUAGAUUCAGGAAUUGCAUUUAAAUAUUUAAUCCAUUUUCCUUCUGUACAUGUAUAUCUGGUUUUCCCAACACCAUUUUUAAAGACACUGUGCAUUGUAUAUUAUUGGCACCUUUGUCAAAAAUCAAUUGACUCUGAUGUCUGGGUUUAUUUCCAGGCUAUCCAUCCUAUUCCACUGGUCAAUGUGUCUGUCUGUUUUUAUGCCAGUACCAUAAUGUUUUGAUUACUAUAGCUUCAUAAU
rnacentral:lncRNA from 1 species